GAGGUGGUUAUGUGUCUGGCGGCAGAAGGAAAGCUAGUACUUCUCGCCCGCCGGAUAAGAGAAUAGUCCCAAAGUACAAGUACAAGACAAUGAUUUAGAGUAUCUCAAAUACAUUGAAGAUCCCAAUGGAACUGAUCUCGAUACGAUGAUGAACUUUCUUAAGGUCAGAAUAUAUAUUCUUUUAUUUUGUAUAUGUUUCCAUUGGUUUGUGCAGAGGGUGAUCAUUUUUUAGUUUAUUGACGUUUACACUUGUUGCAGUCAAAGUAUGAGUUACAAAGUAUCUUUAAAAAAUCAUUUAAUGCAGCGCUCAAAGCACUUGAGUUGAAAGGAUACAUUAAGAAGGUGAAUGACCGCUACUACAAGGUCAAGGGUACGUCUUCUUCAGGUGCUAAAACAUCCCGACAAGAGGAUGUUAGGACAAAUACUUGAUAGAUGUUGUUUCCCCCACAUCAACCCUGUAGGGAAAGUGGAAUUGUGAAGACUUUCAGAUCUCUCCAUCCACAAGAUUUAAAUGUUGUAGCUAGUAUCUUCUUAGAGAUUUUUGUGCUUGAAGAGCUAGGCUGAUUAUUCAACCUAGGAGUUCUAAUUGUAACAUGUUGAUUGCUCAUAAUGUUUUCAUUUUUGUUUAC